rnacentral:lncRNA from 8 species
ACCGUUGUGUGGUUGUCAGGGAUAUAUGGCCUGGAAGGAGAGAACCUAUCGUCUGUGGACGUUCAAUUCAGUGGGAAGGGCCACAAAGAUCAAAGUUCACACACCGUCAUCGUCCAGGACGAUGGCUUCUUCACCUUCUCCUCUGAUUGGAUGCUGGAAAACCCUGGAACAUACCAAAUUAGUAUGUCAAAACAAAUAGAUGUUUUAUUUUUUAUUCAUGGGAAUAAGAAAUGUUACAUCUCACAUUCUCCACUCUCCCUCUCUAGAGAUCUCAGUCUCCAACCUCCUCUCCCAGCUCUUCUCCUCCCUCUAUCUCUCCGUCUUGCGUCCCUCUCCAGAGGGGUUGGAGGUCAGCCUGGUCCAGGGGCAAGGGGGUACCCCCUACUGCCUGCCCUACCCAGCCCAGGACACACUAUCCCAGGCUCUGGAGAAGGCCUACCUGGGUGAUAUCCUCACCCUCCAGGCAUAUGUAGGAGCUGGAAUCAGGCUGCAGUUCCACUGGAGAUUCUUCAGUGAUGCUGAAAAGGAAGAGGAAGAGGAGGGGAAGAGGAGGGAUGUAAAGAUAGACUGCCUUCCUGAUUCUGAUUGUCUGAGCAGCACUGUGAACCAACUGUUUAAAACUGAGGGGAUUCACACUGUCAAGGUCAAUGCUUCCAAUAUAUAUGGCUGGACUGAGAAAACCAUCCAUAUUGCGGUGGUGAGGCGGGUUGUGUGUGAUUUGACUCUGGAGAGUCGGUCUGGGUACCAUCUGGCUGCUGGUCAGAACAUUUCUGUGGACCUGCAGCUCUACACCACGCAGAGACAGAGCCUACUGCUCAACCUCACACUGACCUACCAGGGAAAACACAGCGUCAACCAAGACCAUGUCCACAACCUCAACCAAACCUUCAACCAUGACGAUGCUGACCAUGAAAACAAUCAAAACCAUGACCAAACAGAAGAUCACAACCUCAAUCAAAACCAAACCUACAACUUUACCCUAGCACUUGAACUCAACCACAACCAAACCCACGGUCAUGACAAUGACGAUCACACCGUGCCCCUCCGAUUCACCCACACCCUCUCCCUGUCCUCCUACCCCCAGCCCUCCAGCCCCCUGCACCUCCGCUCCUCCUAUGGCCAGACCAGCUGCCACCUCCAGUUCCACUGUCCCUGAUCCUGCUGUGCCGCUACUCUCCGCCUGGUGUGUACGACCGCAUACGCACCCUCUGGCCAGCUGGAACGUGGAGCUGGGUCAGAACUCAACCUCACGGUCACCAGCCAGGCUGACUGUAUGGGUUCUAAGGUGCUUUGGACAGUUGCUAGGGGCAACACCACUGUGUUCAACAGGAUCACGGAGGCCUGGACCGUGACCAUGACAUUCUCGAUCGCAGGGACCUAUCUGGUCACGGUCAAAGCCUUCAACCCAAUCAGCUGGGUUGGCUUCCACACACACUUCCUGGUCCAAGAUCCAGUCGGAGAAUUGUUGUUGAAUGUUCCAAGAGUGGUCACGGUCGACUGUCCGACCGCAGCGUUGUUCACCAUCACAACAGGGUCGAACAUGUCUGUGGUGGUGUUAACGAACACAUCCGUUCUGUACCAGAACAACAACUACACAGCAGGGGAGGAGGUGUCCGUGGGUUUGUUGUUUGACUGUACUGGGACCACUGAGGUUGAGGUCAGAGCUGAGAACCUAGUCUCCUCUGAGAACAGGUCCGUGAACGUGUGUGUUCAGCUGGUCAGGAAGUGGUCACACACGGUCACCAUGGAUAUAACUCUACCACCGGUCACUGGGCCGAGCCUAGCCCUCAGUACCAAGGUAAAUGGUAAGGAAAAAUGUCAUUCUCAAGUACUUUACUCUGAUUCACCAUAAUAUGUCUAUGUUUGUGUGAAUGUUUAAAGCUUUUCAACUGU